rnacentral:rRNA from 1 species
UACGUAGGGUGCAGGCGUUAUUCGGAAUUACUGGGCGUAAAGCGUGCGCAGGCGGUUUGCUAAGUCAGGUGUGAAAUCCCCGGGCUUAACCUGGGAACUGCGCUUGUAACUGGCAAGCUUGAGUGUGGCAGAGGGGGGUGGAAUUCCACGUGUAGCAGUGAAAUGCGUAGAGAUGUGGAGGAACACCGAUGGCGAAGGCAGCCCCCUGGGCUAACACUGACGCUCAGGCACGAAAGCGUGGGGAGCAAACAGG